rnacentral:rRNA from 1 species
AUGCUCGUUUCUUGUGGAGUCAGCAGCGUCCGCUGCUCCUCCUCGACGACAACGACAGUCCAUGAUAAUAGCACUGACAUGAUCUCAUUGUUGGAUUUUAAGCGUGCCAUCACCAAUGACUCAAGACAAGCCUUGAGAUCUUGGCACGUCGGCGCCCCUCUUUGCAAAUGGAAGGGUGUCGUCUGCAGCGGCCCCAAGCACCCGGACCGAGUCAUCGAGCUGAACCUUAUGAACCUAUCGUUGUCGGGCACGAUUUCACCGUCCCUCAGGAACCUAACAUUCCUUAGGAGACUGGAACUGUCCCAUAAUGGCUUCAUCGGCGAGAUACCUCCUUUUAGCCGUCUCCAAAGAUUGGAGUACCUUGACUUGUCGGACAACUCACUACGAGGGAUCAUUCCGGAUACUCUUACAAACUGCUCCAAUCUAUGCGUGGUUACAUCUUGCCUUCAAUAA